rnacentral:rRNA from 1 species
GACGUAGGGGGCAAGCGUUGUCCGGAUUCACUGGGCGUAAAGGGCGCGUAGGCGGUUACGUAAGUCCGGCGUGAAAUCUCACAGCUCAACUGUGGAACUGCGUCGGAUACUGCGUUGACUGGAGGGCGGUAGAGGUCUGUGGAACUAGCGGUGUAGCGGUGAAAUGCGCAGAUAUCGCUAGGAACGCCGGUGGCGAAGGCGACAGACUGGGCCGUUCCUGACGCUGAGGCGCGAAAGCUAGGGGAGCGAACCGG